rnacentral:misc_RNA from 1 species
GAUGAAGAACGUAGCGAAAUGCGAUAAGUAGUGUGAAUUGCAGAAUUCAGUGAAUCAUCGAAUCUUUGAACGCACAUUGCGCCCCAUGGUAUUCCGUGGGGCAUGCCUGUUCGAGCGUCAUUUACCCCCUCAAGCUCCGCUUGGUGUUGGGCGUCUGUCCCGCUUCGCGCGCGGACUCGCCCCAAAGGUAUUGGCAGAGGUCGUGCCAGCUUCUCGCGCAGCACAUUGCGCUUCUCGAGGCACCGGUGGGCCCGCGUCCAUCAAGCUCACCCCCCCAGUUUGACCUCGGAUCAGGUAGGGAUACCCGCUGAACUUAAGCAUAUCAAUAAGCGGAGGA